UAUAUUAUCAGCUGUACCUCUCUUUUCUAUAUUUCUAAUUGUUGAUUGAGAUUUUUACAUAAUGAUGUAAAAUUAUAGAAAAAAAUUAUUUGAGAACAAAUAGAUAUUGUUUCUUUUUAUUUUCAAAUCAAGAUCAAGCAUUCAUAGUAGACUUCAUGGUGAUGAAAACUAGACUAUCAGGUAUUUGGAGAGCAGAGAUGCAUUAAGAUUGACCAUGAGAUGGUUCAAUCUAUAAUGCACCUAGGGUUAGGCCCUC
rnacentral:lncRNA from 1 species